GUUGGCUACGGCGAUAUGCGGCCCGUGACGGUCUGGGGCAAGCUGGUGGGGUCCCUGUGCGCCAUAGCCGGUGUGCUGACCAUAGCCCUGCCCGUGCCAGUGAUUGUGUCCAAC
rfam:Macrostomum lignano uti_cns_0002863, whole genome shotgun sequence.